rnacentral:rRNA from 1 species
UACGACUACAUAUCAGGCAUAUCAAUAAGCGGAGGAAAAGAAACUAACAAGGAUUCCCCUAGUAACGGCGAGUGAAGCGGGAAGAGCUCAAAUUUGAAAUCUUAAAGGGUUUCCCUUUACGAAUUGUAGUUUAAAGAAGUGUUUUCUGUUGGAGUUUCGGUAAAAGUUCUUUGGAAUAGGACAUCAUAGAGAGGGUGAGAAUCCCGUAUUUGACCGUUACUUUCCAGCUGUGUGAUACACUUUCAAAGAGUCGGAUUGUUUGGGAAUGCAGUCCAAGAUGGGUGGUAAAUUUCAUCUAAAGCUAAAUAUUGGCGAGAGACCGAUAGCGAACAAGUACCGUGAGGGAAAGAUGAAAAGAACUUUGAAAAGAGAGUUAAACAGUACGUGAAAUUGUCAAAAGGGAAGCGUUUGACACCAGUGUUGUUUAGUUGAAAAUCAAUUCAAUAGUUUUUGAUUCUAAGUAGUAUUGACUUCAUCAGCUUGCUGCUUUCUUCUCAGAAAUUAUUGAAUGCACUUUUCAGUUAACAAGUCAACAUCAAUUUCUUUUGUUGUAAAAGGGUAAGAGGAAGGUGGCUUGCGCUUCGGCUCAAGUGUUUAUAGCCUUUUAUCUCUGCAAUCGGAGAGAUUGAGGUCUGCAGCGUAGAUCCUUCGGGGUUAGAUACAUUGGUGCUAAGCUAUAGCCUUGUAUAGACAACUUGUUGACUAUGCUCAGUCAUGUAGCUUACUCGCUGAUGCUAUUUUACCUACGCUUAGGAUGUUGAGUAGCGACAUACGCAC